CCUACGGGAGGCUGCAGUGGGGAAUAUUGGACAAUGGGGGGAACCCUGAUCCAGCCAUGCCGCGUGUGUGAAGAAGGCCCUCGGGUUGUAAAGCACUUUCAGUGAGGAAGAACGCCUGGUGGUUAAUACCCAUCAGGAAAGACAUCACUCACAGAAGAAGCACCGGCUAACUCCGUGCCAGCAGCCGCGGUAAUACGGAGGGUGCGAGCGUUAAUCGGAAUUACUUGGCGUAAAGCGCGCGUAGGUGGCUUGAUAAGCCGGUUGUGAAAGCCCCGGGCUCAACCUGGGAACGGCAUCCGGAACUGUCAAGCUAGAGUGCAGGAGAGGAAGGUAGAAUUCCCGGUGUAGCGGUGAAAUGCGUAGAGAUCGGGAGGAAUACCAGUGGCGAAGGCGGCCUUCUGGACUGACACUGACACUGAGGUGCGAAAGCGUGGGUAGCAAACAGGAUUAGAUACCCGAGUAGUC
rnacentral:rRNA from 1 species